AUACGGAAGGUCCGGGCGUUAUCCGGAUUUAUUGGGUUUAAAGGGAGCGCAGGCGGAGAUGCAAGCGUGACGUCAAAUUUCGGGGCUCAACCCCGUCUCGCGUCGCGAACUGCGUCCCUUGGUUGCGGGAAGGGGAGGCGGAACUCGUGGUGUAGCGGUGAAAUGCAUAGAUAUCACGAAGAACUCCGAUCGCGAAGGCAGCCUUCCGGCCCGUCAACGACGCUCAUGCUCGAAGGUGCGGGUAUCAAAUAGGAUUAGAUACCCUGGUAGUCCGCACAGUAAACGAUGGACACCCGCGGUUUGGCCUGUAUGGCUGAGCCGCCAAGCGAAAGCGUUAAGUGUCCCACCUGGGGAGUACGCCGGCAACGGUGAAACUCAAAUGAAUCGGCGGGG
rnacentral:rRNA from 1 species